rnacentral:tRNA from 1 species
GGGUCUGUAGCUCAGUUGGUUAGAGCGUUUCCUUGACAUGGAAAAGGCCUGCAGUUCGAGUCUGCACAGACCCA